UACAGAGGUCUCAAGCGUUGUUCGGAUUCAUUGGGCGUAAAGGGUGCGUAGGCGGCGCGGUAAGUCGGGUGUGAAAUCUCGGAGCUUAACUCCGAAACUGCAUUCGAUACUGCCGUGCUUGAGGACUGGAGAGGAGACUGGAAUUUACGGUGUAGCGGUGAAAUGCGUAGAUAUCGUAAGGAAGACCAGUGGCGAAGGCGACUUUCUGGUCUGUAACUGACACUGAGGCGCGAAAGCGUGGGGAGCGAACAGG
rnacentral:rRNA from 1 species